GCUUGCUUCUCUUGAGAGCGGCGGACGGGUGAGUAAUGCCUAGGAAUCUGCCUGGUAGUGGGGGAUAACGUUCGGAAACGGACGCUAAUACCGCAUACGUCCUACGGGAGAAAGCAGGGGACCUUCGGGCCUUGCGCUAUCAGAUGAGCCUAGGUCGGAUUAGCUAGUUGGUGAGGUAAUGGCUCACCAAGGCGACGAUCCGUAACUGGUCUGAGAGGAUGAUCAGUCACACUGGAACUGAGACACGGUCCAGACUCCUACGGGAGGCAGCAGUGGGGAAUAUUGGACAAUGGGCGAAAGCCUGAUCCAGCCAUGCCGCGUGUGUGAAGAAGGUCUUCGGAUUGUAAAGCACUUUAAGUUGGGAGGAAGGGCAGUUACCUAAUACGUGAUUGUUUUGACGUUACCGACAGAAUAAGCACCGGCUAACUCUGUGCCAGCAGCCGCGGUAAUACAGAGGGUGCAAGCGUUAAUCGGAAUUACUGGGCGUAAAGCGCGCGUAGGUGGUUUGUUAAGUUGGAUGUGAAAUCCCCGGGCUCAACCUGGGAACUGCAUUCAAAACUGACUGACUAGAGUAUGGUAGAGGGUGGUGGAAUUUCCUGUGUAGCGGUGAAAUGCGUAGAUAUAGGAAGGAACACCAGUGGCGAAGGCGACCACCUGGACUGAUACUGACACUGAGGUGCGAAAGCGUGGGGAGCAAACAGGAUUAGAUACCCUGGUAGUCCACGCCGUAAACGAUGUCAACUAGCCGUUGGGAGCCUUGAGCUCUUAGUGGCGCAGCUAACGCAUUAAGUUGACCGCCUGGGGAGUACGGCCGCAAGGUUAAAACUCAAAUGAAUUGACGGGGGCCCGCACAAGCGGU
rnacentral:rRNA from 1 species